GUGGGGAAUAUUGGACAAUGGGCGAAAGCCUGAUCCAGUCAUGCCGCGUGUGUGAAGAAGGUCUUCGGAUUGUAAAGCACUUUAAGUUGGGAGGAAGGGCAGUAAGUUAAUACCUUGCUGUUUUGACGUUACCAACAGAAUAAGCACCGGCUAACUUCGUGCCAGCAGCCGCGGUAAUACGAAGGGGGUAAGCGUUAAUCGGAAUUACUGGGCGUAAAGCGCGCGUAGGUGGUUCAGCAAGUUGAAGUUGAAAUCCCCGGGCUCAACCUGGGAACUGCCGCCAAAACUGCAUGACGAGAGUACGGUAGAGGGUAGGGGAAUUUCCGGUGUAGCGGGGAAAGGCGUAGAUAUUCGGAAUAACGCCAGUGGCGAAGGCGACUCACUGGCCCAAUACUGACGCUGCGGAGCGAAAGCGUGGGGAGCAAACAGGAUUAGAAACCACGGUAGUCC
rnacentral:rRNA from 1 species